GGUAACGUCGUGCCGGGAGCGGGGGUAAUGCGGGGGGGGCUAGUGUUAGCCGGGAUUAGUGGGCGUAAAGCGGACGCAGGCGGUUGGAGAAGUUAGAUGUGAAAGACCCGGGCGCAACCUGGGAAUUGCAUUUAAAACUGUCCAGGUAGAGUCUUGUAGAGGGGGGUAGAAUUCCAGGUGUAGCGGUGAAAUGCGUAGAGAUCUGGAGGAAUACCGAUGGCGAAGGCAGCCAUCUGGCCUAAUACUGACGCUGAGGUACGAAAGCAUGGGGAGCAAACAGGAUUAGAUACCCCGGUAGUC
rnacentral:rRNA from 1 species